GACGAACGCUGGCGGCGUGCUUAACACAUGCAAGUCGAACGAAGUGGCGAACGGGUGAGUAACGCGUAAUCAACCUGCCCUUCAGCGGGGGACAACAGUUGGAAACGACUGCUAAUACCGCAUACUGAAGGAGGGGAUUGCGUCUGAUUAGCUAGUUGGAGGGGGAACGGCCCACCAAGGCGAUGAACAGUAGCCGGUCUGGUAGGAUGGACGGCCAAAAUGGGAAUGGGGCACGGCCCAGACCCCUACGGGAGGCAGCAGUGGGGAAUGUUCCGGAAUGGAAGAAAGUCUGGCGGAGCAACGCCGCGUGAGUGAUGACGGCCUUCGGGUUGUAAAGCUCUGUUAAUCGGGACGCGGUACCGGAAUAGAAAGCCACGGCUAACUACGUGCCAGCAGCCGCGGUAAUUC
rnacentral:rRNA from 1 species